rnacentral:rRNA from 1 species
CCUACGGGAGGCAGCAGUGGGGAAUAUUGCACAAUGGGGGGAACCCUGAUGCAGCGACGCCGCGUGAGUGAAGAAGUAUUUCGGUAUGUAAAGCUCUAUCAGCAGGGAAGAAAAUGACGGUACCUGACUAAGAAGCCCCGGCUAACUACGUGCCAGCAGCCGCGGGAAUACGUAGGGGGCAAGCGUUAUCCGGAUUUACUGGGUGUAAAGGGAGCGUAGACGGUUAUGCAAGUCUGAAGUGAAAGCCAAAGGCUCAACCAUGGGACUGCUUUGGAAACUGUAAAACUGGAGUGCAGGAGAGGUAAGCGGAAUUCCUAGUGUAGCGGUGAAAUGCGUAGAUAUUAGGAGGAACACCAGUGGCGAAGGCGGCUUACUGGACUGUAACGGACGUUGAGGCUCGAAGGCGUGGGGAGCAAACAGGAUUAGAUACCCCGGUAGUC